AAGGAUUUAAGUUAAAUGCUAAACUAACAACCUUCAAAGUUGUGAAUAGAGAAUCUCUAAGCCUUA
rnacentral:tRNA from 1 species